rnacentral:rRNA from 1 species
UACGUAGGGUGCAAGCGUUAAUCGGAAUUACUGGGCGUAAAGCGUGCGUAGACGGUCAAGUAAGUCGGGUGUGAAAGCCCCGGGCUCAACCUGGGAAUUGCAUUCGAGACUGCGUGGCUAGGGUGCGGAAGAGGGAAGCGGAAUUUCCGGUGUAGCGGUGAAAUGCGUAGAUAUCGGAAGGAACACCAGUGGCGAAAGCGGCUUCCUGGCCCAGCACCGACGUCAGGCACGAAAGCGUGGGGAGCAAACAGG